UACGAAGGGGGCUAGCGUUGCUCGGAAUCACUGGGCGUAAAGCGCACGUAGGCGGAUUGUUAAGUCAGGGGUGAAAUCCUGGAGCUCAACUCCAGAACUGCCUUUGAUACUGGAGAGCUUGAGUCCGGGAGAGGUGAGUGGAACUCCGAGUGUAGAGGUGAAAUUCGUAGAUAUUCGGAAGAACACCAGUGGCGAAGGCGGCUCACUGGCCCGGUACUGACGCUGAUGUGCGAAAGCGUGGGGAAGCAAACAG
rnacentral:rRNA from 1 species